UAGUAGUAGUUAUGUUCUUGAAAAUUAAAGAAGAUGGCGGUAUUUUAGUCUAUUCAGAGGAACCUGUCCUAUAAUUGAUGGUCCACGAGUUAAUAAAUUUAUUUUCUAAGUUUGCAUAUCGCCGUAGAUUGAAUAUUCUUUAAGGAAUAAUAACGUUCAAGAAGUUUAUUUAAGUAGAAAAUAAAUCAGGUCAAGAUGUAGCUGAUAAAUAAGAAGAGAUGGGUUACAAUAAAUUUAUUUAUAAUGGAUUAAUGAAUGAAAAUUCUUAUGAAGGUGGAUUUGAAGGUAAU
rnacentral:rRNA from 1 species